rnacentral:rRNA from 1 species
UACAGAGGAGCCAAGCGUUGUCCGGAUUGACUGGGCGUAAAGCGCACGCAGGCGGUCGCGCGCGUGGGGUGUGAAAUCUGGCCGCUUAACGGCCAGGCGCCAUCCCAUACGGCACGACUGGAGUGAUGCAGAGGUCGAUGGAAUUGCCGGUGUAGUGGUGAAAUGCGUAGAUAUCGAGAGGAACACCAGUGGCGAAGGCGAGUCUCUGGACAUUUCCUGACGCUGAGGCACGAAAGCCAGGGGAGCAAACGGG